AUCCCGGAGUCGCCCCUUCGCUGUUGACAUUGAGACUGGUGUUUUGCGGAUACUAUUUAAUGAAGCUGCCAGUUGAGGACUUGUGAGGCGUCUUUCUCAAACUAGAUACUCUAAUGUACUUGUUCUCUUUCUCAGUUGUGGCCUCCCACUCCUCUUUCUAUUCUGGUUAGAGAGUUUGCGCUGUUCUGUUAUUUUAAUGGACAAAAAAUGUGCUUUUCUUUCAAAACAAGGACAUUUCUAAGUGACUCAACUUUUGAAUGGUAAUGUAUAUUGUUUCUGAUAUUUGGAGUGUUGGUAAUAUGACACAGAUGAUUUUGGAGUGUUGGUAAUAUGACACAGGUGAUUUUAGAGUGUUGGUAAUAUGACACAGGUGAUUUUGGAGUGUUGGUAAUAUGACACAGGUGAUUUUGGAGUGUGGGUAAUAUGACACAGGUGUAUAAAGAAUGCACUGUAGAGAGCACAUUCACCAGGAAUAUCCAGCAAUAUUGGUCAUUGACAAUAUAUGACCAGGAACAAGAGUACAUCCUCUUGUGACAAUUAACCUGUUUCUGCAAACCAACUCUAGAUUGAAUCCAUGAGAGUUCUGCUUUUAGUAAAGGUAUAUUUACUGAAUGUUUCUGAAGAAUGAUUUACAUUGGUGUUUAAUUAUGUUGAGGGGAUCUUUCCUAAAUAUCUGUACAAGAUGCAGAUUUUUAUUUUCAGAACAAAAUGUUCAAUUUUACAUUUAGUUAUUUAAAUAAAAAAUGUCAUUUUUGUUGAAUGAUUAUAGAGUAAAAACAUUUUAAAUGGUUGUAAACAAGUCAUGUUUCCAGAAAGUUCAAAAAAGCCCACCUCCAAAUCAGACUGGAACAUUAUUGACUUAAUGUUAAUAAUACAAAGAAAAUUGGACUAGCUGUAUUUUUUUAAAUGUGCAUUUACAGUAUGUGUUUUUAAAUGUACCUUCAAAAACAUUGUUUAGAGAUGUGCUUGAAAUAUGGAUAAUGCGUUUAGAUCGAAGGGCUGUAGUGGUGCUUUCUACUCUCGGUACUGUUUUGUCACAAUCAGUUGUUUUUGUUGUAAUGUUUGGAUUUCUUUCCAGUGUUUUGUCACUAUCAAUGUUAUGGAACAAGCGAUGCUAUGUGUUUAUCUUCCUGAAUCAGACAUGAGUCCAUUGGGCAUUUCUAUAAUUAUUUAAGCCAAUGAUGUUGAGGUGCAAUUGUCUGAUACUACUAGGGCCCUCAAACUAAACUUUGGACCUCGAAGCCAGUUACCCUUUCUUUCUUUUUUUCUUUCUCUCCAUUGUUCCCCUCUAAUCAGGGACUGAUUUUAGGUGUGUGCAAUUAAUUAUCAGGUAGAACAGAACCAGUAGGCGCCGGACCUCAUAGGAAAGGGCUGUCAAACUGUCUAUAGAGGGCCUAGUGUCUGCAGGUUUGAGUUUUUUUCCUUUCAAUUAAGGCCUAGACAAGCAGGUGAUGGGGAGUUUUAUUAGUUAGUGACCUUAAUUCAUAAAUCGAGUACAAGGGAGGAGCGGAAACCUGCAAACAAUCGUCCCUCUGUGAAAUGAGUUGGACACGGACACGUGUCAUAGGGUGAAAGUUAAAUACCCCUGCUAUAGGGCUUGUGACCUAACCAGGGAAAAACUGGGAUCUAGUUAUAUCUCUAAAGCAGGGGUGUCAAACUCAUUCCAUGUAGGGCCAAGGGUCUUCUGGUUUUUGUUUUUUCCUUUCAAUGUGUCCAAUUAAGACCUAGGUAACCAGGUGAGGGAAGUUCCCAACUAAUCAAUGACUUUAAUUUAGCAAUCAAGUACAAGGAAGGAGUGAAAACAUGCAGACACUCAGCCCUCCAUGAAAUGAGUUUUGACGCCUGUGCUCUACGACCAAUAUCUAGUGGUGAGAAAUAUCUUCUCAGUACUGUCUGUAAACGGUUACCAUAAGGGAUUCUAUUAAUAUAUUGGCACCUCAGCUCCACAAACACUGUUUCUGGUCAGAAAAAUUCUGACCUUUUAGCUCAAUGUUCAUUUUCACUAGCACCUGUCACCUAAAACAUGUAAACCAUGCUUUGAGUUUUAUAUACGCUGUCUGACUUUUUUGUAAAAUCUCAAUGUUACAGGCUGAAGAAUGUGCAUUGCUGUGGAUAUUGCAACCGGUAUUCUCUCUCUCUAGAAGGGAUAAUUUUGCUGCUAGGGGAAUGAUUCAGACUAACCUUAAUGCUUCAACUUUCAAUCAAUAAUGAUAACCCUAAAACCUGCAAGUAGUUAUUAUGCUUGUUUUUCCCCUCCACUUACAAAGAAUUGGCUAAAUCAAAGCGAUUAAGUGUAUGCUGAAAUUCUUAUUUUUUUUGUUAAGGUACAUUAUACCACCUGUUGACAUCUCUAAUCACCUGCUUUUUAUUUAAGUGUUUGAAACAAACCAUUAAGAGGCAUUUAGAACAUAUCAGACACUGAGUCUGUUGAACUUCCAGUGGAAUUGUUUCCUCAGGGAAAUGUGUAUUUGUAACGAAUCAAGAAAUACAAUGAAGUUAAUUACCUAACUGAAUUAAAAACAAUCCUGUUGGUAAACAUUUUAUUACAGUUCUAUUGUAUGUAGAUUGCUUGUUGUGCUACCAAAUCCAAUCUCCCAACCCCUAAGAGGCUUCUCUGAGAAAAAAAAAAAAAAAACUUUUGUAAACGUAAAUUACUUAGCAAAUUUUUGUACUUGUAAUUUAUUUGUAUUUAUUUGUAUUUCUUUACUUAGGAUUGUGUUUCUAAUUUCUUUCGUUUUCUUUUCAAUAAAUGUGGUUGUCAAAUACA